rnacentral:rRNA from 1 species
GACGAACGCUGGCGGCGUGCCCUAAUACAUGCAAGUAGAACGCUGAAGGAAGGAGCUUGCUCUUUCCGGAUGAGUUGCGAACGGGUGAGUAACGCGUAGGUAACCUGCCUGGUAGCGGGGGAUAACUAUUGGAAACGAUAGGCUAAUACCGCAUAACAGUAGAUAUCGCAUGAUAGCUGCUUGAAAGGUGCAAAUGCACCACUACCAGAUGGACCUGCGUUGUAUUAGCUAGUUGGUGAGCUAACGGCUCACCAAGGCAACGAUACAUAGCCGACCUGAGAGGGUGAUCGGCCACACUGGGACUGAGACACGGCCCAGACUCCUACGGGAGGCAGCACUAGGGAAUCUUCGGCAAUGGACGGAACUCUGACCGAGCAACGCCGCGUGAGUGAAGAAGGUUUUCGGAUCGUAAAUGCUCUGUU